rnacentral:rRNA from 1 species
CCUACGGGAUGCAGCAGUGGGGAAUACUGCACAAUGGGCGCAAGCCUGAUGCAGCCAAGCCGCGUGUAUGAAGGAGGCCUUCGGGUUGUAAAGUACUUUCAGCGGGAGGAAGGUGUUGAGGUUAAUAACCUCAGCAAUUGACGUUACCCGCAGAAGAAGCACCGGCUAACUCCGUGCCAGCAGCCGCGGUAAUACGGAGGGUGCAAGCGUUAAUCGGAAUUACUGGGCGUAAAGCGCACGCAGGCGGUCUGUCAAGUCGGAUGUGAAAUCCCCGGGCUCAACCUGGGAACUGCAUUCGAAACUGGCAGGCUAGAGUCUUGUAGAGGGGGGUAGAAUUCCAGGUGUAGCGGUGAAAUGCGUAGGGAUCUGGAGGAAUACCGGUGGCGAAGGCGGCCCCCUGGACAAAGACUGACGCUCAGGUGCGAAAGCGUGGGGAGCAAACAGGAUUAGAUACC